CAGCCGCCGCGGGAAUACGAAGGGGGCGAGCGUUGCUCGGAAUGACUGGGCGUAAAGGGCGCGUAGGUGGUACGGACAGUCAGAUGUGAAAUUCCCGGGCUCAACCUGGGGGCUGCAUUUGAUACGUCCGAACUAGAGUGUGGAAGAGGGUCGUGGAAUUCCCAGUGUAGAGGUGAAAUUCGUAGAUAUUGGGAAGAACACCGGUGGCGAAGGCGGCGACCUGGUCCAUUACUGACGCUGAGGCGCGAAAGCGUGGGGAGCAAACAGGAUUAGAUACCCCCGUAGUCCCUGUCUCUUAUAC
rnacentral:rRNA from 1 species